CCUACGGGAGGCAGCAGUGAGGAAUAUUGGUCAAUGGGAGGAAUCCUGAACCAGCCAUGCCGCGUGCAGGACGACGGCUCUACGAGUUGUAAACUGCUUUUGUACCGGGGUAAAGUGCCUUACGUGUAGGGUUUUGAAAGUAAGGUACGAAUAAGCAUCGGCCAACUCCGUGCCAGCCGCCGCGGUAAUACGGAGGAGGCGAGCGUUAGCCGGAUUUAUUGGGGUUAAAGGGUGCGGCGGUUGUUUUGUAAGUCAGCGGGGAAAGUUGGUGGCUCAACCAUAAAAUUGCCGUUGAAACUGGAGGACUUGAGUGUGUUUGAGGUAUGCGGAAUGCGUGGUGUAGCGGUGAAAUGCAUAGAUAUCACGCAGAACUCCGAUUGCGAAGGCAGCUUACCAAGCCAUAACUGACACUGAAGCACGAAAGCGUGGGGAUCAAACAGGAUUAGAUACCCUAGUAGUC
rnacentral:rRNA from 1 species